CCAAUAAUAACUUCAUAUUGUUGAUUUUUUUUAAUUGUUGGUUUCCAUCUCGAAGCAAAGAUUAUUGUGAGAGUUCCGAAUUCUUCUUCCUCUCUUUUGACAUUUUCGGAAGAAUUACGAAGACUUCGAUAGUGAUGAUAAUGAUGUGGGAGAUGACAGAGAAAGACUGCACGCGCAGUGGCAAAAAAGAAUGGCCGACCACUUGUCUGUUUAGGAGCGGGCGCAGAUUGCUGCAUGCUAUAAGUUGUGGAAACCAGGGGUUGCUGUGCAAAAAUGGUGGCGCACGGUAAAGGAACGUCAUGCCACAAUCUGUCCGGAAAAAUUCGGGAAUUAUCAAUUUAAGCUAAAAUGACCAACGGUUCGAUUGCGGACGCACAGAGAAAUGGCCGUUCAUCCACAUCAUGAUCUGAGGAAAACGUGUCGUUGGGGAUGCGCCGGCAUCUAUAUUGAAUUAUAAUGUUAUCAGUCCAUAUUUGAAUUUUAUAAGUCACUCUGUAUAUGUUAUAAGGAAAAGUUUCCUCAUCACAAAUUUAGUUACGUAUUUUAAAUAAAAAAAUGGUAAAGAGAAUUUUCGGAAUGAAACCGAGAAAGGACAUAAAGAAUCCGAGAAUGGAGUAUGUUUUAAAUAUAGAUAUACAGUAUAUAAUUUAUAAUAAAUAUGGGAGCAUUAGAUAUAGUCUGAUUAGUCACAAUCUUAUGCUACUCGUAUAUCAUCGCGGAUCCUACUACUGUUGGAUUUCGGUCACUCAAUAGAAACUGAUGUGCAGUUUGUUAUUCAUUUUGUUUUGUGUUACUGAACAUUUAUAAAUAACUGUUGAUAUAAAUCAUCAAAAUUAUUGUGUUUUGUAUUGCUUUGGAAGUUGGAAUUCUUGGGAAGUAUCAGGUGUGUCCAUGGACAGAUAGAGGAAACGUAAAACUGAGAUAAAUAAAAAGCUGCUAUUUCAGUGGAAACGAUAGAAGAGAAAAUGAAAAAUAUUUGAAAAAGCUUUGAAAACACCAGAGAGAACCUGUUUUACCCCGAGAAUCAAUUGUAAUUUCAUUUUGCCUUUGGUAAUUUGCUAUUAUUACGAGAGGUUUCAAAUGUAACGUUUCAUCCCUUCAAGCUAUAUUCUUUGUUCGUUGGAUACUUGAUAUUCAAGAGAGAAAUCGAAAGUAUCCGAAUGAAAAAGUUUCUCUUAAAAUUGAAUUGAUUUUAGUUACAUUUAUAAGUUCAAUGGUCAUUUCUUUUUAUAAAUAAUAAGAAACCAUCUUAUAAAUAAAUAA